UGACCUCCACAACUGCUUCUCCUC
rnacentral:piRNA from 1 species